rnacentral:rRNA from 1 species
AUUGAACGCUGGCGGCAGGCUUAACACAUGCAAGUCGAGCGGAGAUGAGGUGCUUGCACCUUAUCUUAGCGGCGGACGGGUGAGUAAUGCUUAGGAAUCUGCCUAUUAGUGGGGGACAACAUUCCGAAAGGAAUGCUAAUACCGCAUACGCCCUACGGGGGAAAGCAGGGGAUCUUCGGACCUUGCGCUAAUAGAUGAGCCUAAGUCGGAUUAGCUAGUUGGUGGGGUAAAGGCCUACCAAGGCGACGAUCUGUAGCGGGUCUGAGAGGAUGAUCCGCCACACUGGGAAUGAGACACGGCCCAGACUCCUGCGGGAGGCAGCAGUGGGGAAUAUUGGACAAUGGGCGGAAGCCUGAUCCAGCCAUGCCGCGUGUGUGAAGAAGGCCUUUUGGUUGUAAAGCACUUUAAGCGAGGAGGAGGCUACCUGGAUUAAUACUCCAGGAUAGUGGACGUUACUCGCAGAAUAAGCACCGGCUAACUCUGUGCCAGCCGCCGCCGUAACAC